CCACUGGGUCAACAGAGCAGCCUUCGUGAGCUCACUUCCAAAUCUUGUUACUGUCUUUGCCAGAAAUUUAGAACAACCUGCUUCCCUUACCUCAAUGUCCAUUCCCCUUCAGAGUUUCUGAUUAGCACUAGUUCUCAAAACAGGAAUAUUAUGGUUUUGUUUUAUUGUAUUAAGUUAUUUGGGACCUUUGGUGUUUUCAUCCUUCUUUGCUUCUUAUUCAAUGAAAAUUAAUUCUAAUGUAAAAGAUAAAGGUCAUACUUUUAUGUGAUGUGCCUUUUUCAGUUCCCACUAAAACUUUAUCAAAUAUAUUUUCCCCAUUGUCUCUGCAGAAGGAAGAGGGGAAGGCUCAGUAGUGAAAAAUCCCUUCUGUUCCACAAAGCACCUUCUCCUUAAAAUAGUACUCUCAAGGGACACAGGCAGGCAGAUGCUUACAUUGGCCAAAUGAUCAGCUGCAAGAGUUUUAGGAAAACAAAUAAAUCCUCUGAGCCCUGCGGGUCAUACCUGCUCUAUUGUUUUAAUCUAUCUUCAGUUAAAUCUAGCAAAGACCAGGUCAGAUACUGGCACAAUAUUGGAAAUGAUUCCAGCUUGUAAAGAAAAAUGAAGAAAUGCAAUGAAACUGCUAUUGCCAAAAACAUUCCAGUGCUCUUUUAAAUUCUCUUGUGUUACACUGAAUUAUUCUCCUCCCUGACCUCUUCAGGCAGGGGUCUGGCCUGAUUGCUAAAGCAGUGUGUCACAAUACAAUGUCAAACUCCAGGAAAUUUGUGUCAAAAUUUCUAUAGUGAAUUGAGCAUCCAUUCUGAAUGUGCUUUUGUUCAUCAGUGGGUGUGUGGGAUGAGCAGACCGCUGGAAUAUUUUCUACAUGCAAAGUUAAAUCUGCAUUGUUAAAGGAUGCCAGCAGCCCCAUCCUGCUGAGAUUAGAGCUCCAUUGGCCUCCCCAGUUUCUAAGCUCUCUGAACAGGAAGAGUGUAGCAGCUACUGCUGUAUCCCUAGUGUCUUCAAACUCUGCUUGGCACUUGGAAGGUGCUCCAUCAUAAGCUCCCAGGAGCACACCGGGGCGCUACAGAAGACCAGGAGAAAGGACGUGAGCCAGCUUGCAGUCUUAACAAAAAUUUCAAACGUCGCAAAGCAGCAUACACUCUUACUCUCCAGUUCAGUAUUGCCAGCGAAGUCACACUGAACACAGAAGAGGAAAAGAAAGAAAAAGGUCUUUCAAAAAUGUGAAAAUUGGCAAUUGGGUGAUGUUCACAGUGUCCUGUCUACUUCCUGGAGCCCCUGUCAUGCAGCAGCUGCAGGUGAGUCACUGGCUGAGAGAGGAAGUGAGAACAGCUUUCCAUGUGGGGCUGCCUGACAGCCAUUCCCUGCUCAGGGCUCACCUGCAGUCCUGUGGCUGAACGAGAUUUAGACCAUGGUCACUACCUGGACUGGUGAGUAUAUGUCAGGGCCUAUAAUAGCCAUCUCCGGAAAUUUGCUUCUAAAUUCCAAAAAUGAUAAGUGGGAUGCCCAGAUCACAAUUAAAAAGGAAAUGUUACAUAUGAUUCCAAGCAUUAAUAUAAACACUCUUAACUUAAAUUUUGAAUAUCCAACCACCUUCUGGGGAAAAAGGCUUUGUAAUUAAAUGAUAGCUAUUUCCCUGGCUCACGUUGCUCAGAGUCCAGUGAGAGCUAGAGGGCAGGCGAACACAUAAGCAAGGAGGAAGGUGAUAAAAGCCCAGGUGUACAGGGUCAUAGGCAAAGGAACUGUGUUGUCUGGAGGUGUCAGAAAAUCUGGACAGUAGAGGUGAUGUCUGAGCUUGAGAUUCAGAUUCAGGAGACAGGGUUGGGGCUUAGGCAUGAAUGUUUAAAAAACAAACAACAACAACAACAAAACGCCUGCAGUGAUUCUGAUGCACAACCAGGGUUGAAUCUUCGGGAGAUUUUUGUGCUUCUGUUUCGCAGCAUUUCCCCUCCGGGCUGUGAGCCCCUCAGUGGUAGGGUUUCCCCUGUUGG